GUGAGCGAAGGAGGCUGAGCAGGGCGAGGAGGGCCGGGAGAUGCUGAGGGCGGAGCGUACCUGUGCAGGCCUGCUGCUGAGAUCCAGCGCUUCCUCCAGCAGCUCAAGGGCCGCGUGGUCCGCCAGGCCAUUCAGAAGGUCCACCCACGGCGCCGGGACGCACAGACCCCAGCCCCCAUAGAAGUCUGGACGGAUCUGGCCGAGAAGAUAACCGGUCCGCUGGAAGAGGCCCUGACAGUGGCUUUCUCGCAGGUACAGACC